GGAAGGGCUGUAGCGCAGUGGAACAGCAUCUGCCUUGCAUGCAGAAGGUCGCAGGUUUGAUCCCUGGUAUCUCCA